rnacentral:rRNA from 1 species
UACGUAGGGGGCAAGCGUUGUCCGGAUUUAUUGGGCGUAAAGAGCGUGUAGGCGGUUUGGUAGGUCCGCUGUGAAAGCCCGGGGCUCAACCCCGGGAGGCGGGCGGAUACUGUCGGGCUAGAGUCCGGAAGAGGCGAGUGGAAUUCCUGGUGUAGCGGUGAAAUGCGCAGAUAUCAGGAGGAACACCAAUGGCGAAGGCAGCUCGCUGGGACGGUACUGACGCUGAGACGCGAAAGCGUGGGGAGCAAACAGG